rnacentral:rRNA from 2 species
CGGCGUGCCUAAUACAUGCAAGUCGAACGAACUCUGGUAUUGAUUGGUGCUUGCAUCAUGAUUUACAUUUGAGUGAGUGGCGAACUGGUGAGUAACACGUGGGAAACCUGCCCAGAAGCGGGGGAUAACACCUGGAAACAGAUGCUAAUACCGCAUAACAACUUGGACCGCAUGGUCCGAGUUUGAAAGAUGGCUUCGGCUAUCACUUUUGGAUGGUCCCGCGGCGUAUUAGCUAGAUGGUGGGGUAACGGCUCACCAUGGCAAUGAUACGUAGCCGACCUGAGAGGGUAAUCGGCCACAUUGGGACUGAGACACGGCCCAAACUCCUACGGGAGGCAGCAGUAGGGAAUCUUCCACAAUGGACGAAAGUCUGAUGGAGCAACGCCGCGUGAGUGAAGAAGGGUUUCGGCUCGUAAAACUCUGUUGUUAAAGAAGAACAUAUCUGAGAGUAACUGUUCAGGUAUUGACGGUAUUUAACCAGAAAGCCACGGCUAACUACGUGCCAGCAGCCGCGGUAAUACGUAGGUGGCAAGCGUUGUCCGGAUUUAUUGGGCGUAAAGCGAGCGCAGGCGGUUUUUUAAGUCUGAUGUGAAAGCCUUCGGCUCAACCGAAGAAGUGCAUCGGAAACUGGGAAACUUGAGUGCAGAAGAGGACAGUGGAACUCCAUGUGUAGCGGUGAAAUGCGUAGAUAUAUGGAAGAACACCAGUGGCGAAGGCGGCUGUCUGGUCUGUAACUGACGCUGAGGCUCGAAAGUAUGGGUAGCAAACAGGAUUAGAUACCCUGGUAGUCCAUACCGUAAACGAUGAAUGCUAAGUGUUGGAGGGUUUCCGCCCUUCAGUGCUGCAGCUAACGCAUUAAGCAUUCCGCCUGGGGAGUACGGCCGCAAGGCUGAAACUCAAAGGAAUUGACGGGGGCCCGCACAAGCGGUGGAGCAUGUGGUUUAAUUCGAAGCUACGCGAAGAACCUUACCAGGUCUUGACAUACUAUGCAAAUCUAAGAGAUUAGACGUUCCCUUCGGGGACAUGGAUACAGGUGGUGCAUGGUUGUCGUCAGCUCGUGUCGUGAGAUGUUGGGUUAAGUCCCGCAACGAGCGCAACCCUUAUUAUCAGUUGCCAGCAUUAAGUUGGGCACUCUGGUGAGACUGCCGGUGACAAACCGGAGGAAGGUGGGGAUGACGUCAAAUCAUCAUGCCCCUUAUGACCUGGGCUACACACGUGCUACAAUGGAUGGUACAACGAGUUGCGAACUCGCGAGAGUAAGCUAAUCUCUUAAAGCCAUUCUCAGUUCGGAUUGUAGGCUGCAACUCGCCUACAUGAAGUCGGAAUCGCUAGUAAUCGCGGAUCAGCAUGCCGCGGUGAAUACGUUCCCGGGCCUUGUACACACCGCCCGUCACACCAUGAGAGUUUGUAACACCCAAAGUCGGUGGGGUAACCUUUUAGGAACCAGCCGCCUAAGGUGGGACAGAUGAUUAG